rnacentral:rRNA from 1 species
CCUACGGGAGGCAGCAGUAGGGAAUCUUCCACAAUGGGCGAAAGCCUGAUGGAGCAACGCCGCGUGGGUGAAGAAGGUCUUCGGAUCGUAAAACCCUGUUGUUAGAGAAGAAAGUGCGUGAGAGUAACUGUUCACGUUUCGACGGUAUCUAACCAGAAAGCCACGGCUAACUACGUGCCAGCAGCCGCGGUAAUACGUAGGUGGCAAGCGUUAUCCGGAUUGAUUGGGCGUAAAGGGAACGCAGGCGGUCUUUUAAGUCUGAUGUGAAAGCCUUCGGCUUAACCGGAGUAGUGCAUUGGAAACUGGGAGACUUGAGUACAGAAGAGGAGAGUGGAACUCCAUGUGUAGCGGUGAAAUGCGUAGAUAUAUGGAAGAAUACCAGUGGCGAAAGCGGCUCUCUGGUCUGUAACUGACGCUGAGGUUCGAAAGCGUGGGUAGCAAACAGGAUUAGAUACCCGUGUAGUC